UAGCAUUUUGUUUAGAAACAAACAAAACAAACAAACAAACAAACAAACAAACAAACGCCAGGAACCACUGAUUACUUCUUGGUUUUCAGUAGGUUGCUAAAAUUAAAAUAAUCAACUACAGUUAAAACUCUGAAGUAGUUGCAUGAAGAAAUUUAUUCCACUGUAAUACAGAGAGAAACCCAUCUGUUACGGCCAUAGCACUAAAACUAGAGAUUGUAGACCUAUGAACCUGGAAUACUUAAGAUGCUGUAUUGUCGGAUGCCAUUAUCAAUCUACUCCAUUUCCAAAUCAAUGCUUAAUUCCAAAAAGGCAGGCUGAAAAAUGAAAGCAAAAAUACCCCAAACAUCAGUACAGUGAUAAAUAUAGAAGAAAGUCUUGUGUGGCAUCUAAGCCAGAAUGUACAGUACCAGAUUGAGAAACACUAAAUGUAGCUAAAAACCUCAACAUUUAAGUAGUACUACAGAAAGGGAAAUGACAUUAAAGGAUUUAACAUGUUCAUAUUUUGUUGGUACUAGAAAGCAUCUUACACCACCUAGUGGCAAGAUAGUGUUUAGAUUUCAUUUUUCUAUAAUAUUCCUGUCAUCCCACCCGUUAGUGUGACCACUUUGGGAAAAAUAUCCACUGACAGUUGCAUUUCAAUGUUAA